AUACGAAGGGGACUAGCGUUGUUCGGAAUCACUGGGCGUAAAGCGCGCGUAGGCGGACCAGUCAGUCAGGGGUGAAAUCCCGGGGCUCAACCCCGGAACUGCCUUUGAUACUGCUGGUCUUGAGUUCGAGAGAGGUGAGUGGAAUUCCGAGUGUAGAGGUGAAAUUCGUAGAUAUUCGGAGGAACACCAGUGGCGAAGGCGGCUCACUGGCUCGAUACUGACGCUGAGGUGCGAAAGCGUGGGGAGCAAACAGGAUUAGAAACCCUUGUAGUCC
rnacentral:rRNA from 1 species